rnacentral:lncRNA from 1 species
GUCUGACUAGUGCAAUUCUUCCUGAGCCACUGCAUGAGCUUCCGCUGGGUGGGAAAUCCCAUGUUGUGAGUGGGGGAUUCACCCUUGUUGAGUGAACAGAGUGCUGACUCACUGAGAACCCAGGCCAGAGACCUGCAAACAAUGCUCAAUUAAUAUUUGCCCUGGCUGGUGAACCCAGCAGAGGCUGUGCACGGAAGCCCAGAGCACG